rnacentral:rRNA from 1 species
AUUGAACGCUGGCGGCAGGCCUAACACAUGCAAGUCGAGCGGAGCGGCGGACGGGUGAGUAAUGUAUGGGGAUCUGCCCGAUAGCGGGGGAUAACUACUGGAAACGGUGGCUAAUACCGCAUCCUAUCGGAUUAACCCAUAUGGGAUUAGCUAGUAGGUGGGGUAAAGGCUCACCUAGGCGACGAUCUCUAGCUGGUCUGAGAGGAUGAUCAGCCACACUGGGAUGGAGAAAGGGCCAAGACUCCAACGGGAGGCAGAAGUGGGAAAGAUUGGAAAAUGAGCGAAAGCCUGAUCCAGCCAUGCCGCGUGUGGGAAGAAGGUCUUCGGAUUGUAAAGCACUUUAAGUGGGGAGGCGGUACCAACAGAAUAAGCACCGGCUAACUACGUGCCAGCAGCCGCGGUAAUUC